UAUGUAUCUUUUUCUUCUUUGCGAGUGGAUUUCUUCUACUGCACCGAUUUGUUUUGUUAGGAAAGAUUGUAUCUCUGCCAUUCAUGAAUGAAUCUAUACAAAAUUAUUCACCUGGCUUGUUAUGAUUAUUUAUUUUUUUAUUCACCUGCUAUUAUGAUUAUUUAUUUAGUGGUGAUGCUAAUACUUACUCAGAAGUGGAAGUAUUGGAAUUUGUUACAUCUUCAGAAGUGGAUGAUAAAUUUGAGAUGGACAUGGAUCAAGAUCCAAAUUUGAGUAAAAAUGAAGUGGAUUUGUAUCUCACAGAGCCUAGGGAGAAGAAAAAUCCUGAUUUUGACAUUUUAAAUUGGUGGAAGGUGAAUUCUACCAAAUACCCUACCCUUGGUCUAAUAGCUAGAGAUAUAUUGGCUAUGCCAAUAUCAACUGUUGCUUCAGAGUCUGCUUUUAGCAGGGGUAGAGUUCUUUAAUUUGUGCACAAAAUUGGUUAAGAUCUUCACCUUUGUCAGUUGAUAUUGAGGAGCAUUUGGAAGAUUUAGAGAAGCUCGAAGAAGAAUUAGCUCCCAUUCCACAAUUGAAUGAGGGACUUUCUGAUAUUGAAUCUGAUUAGUAGAUGUGCUUCAAAAGGAAAUGAAAUGAUGGAGUCAUGGAGAUGGAGACAUUGUUACUUUGGUGUAAUAUGAUAUGUAGAUGGAGUCAUGGAGAUGGGGAUGGAGACAAUGUAAUUUUUUUUGGUAUUUUGAUAUAGACAAUGUUAGUGUUGGAGACAAUGUAAUUUCUUUUAGUAUUUUGAUAUAGACAGUGUUACUGUUAGUGUUACAGUUACAGUGUAAUGUAAUUGAUAUAGUCUGAUACUUUGAUACUUCUUUUGGUAUUGAGAAAAGUGGUAAGAGGGGAUGUAUGUUUUUAUUUAAUGAACUUGUACUUA